rnacentral:rRNA from 1 species
UACGUAGGUGGCAAGCGUUGUCCGGAUUUACUGGGCGUAAAGGGCGUGCAGGCGGUCUGUUAAGUUCAGGGUGAAAGCUCCCGGCUCAACUGGGAGAGGUCCUUGGAUACGGGCAGACUAGAGGUAGGCAGGGGAGAGCGGAACUCCUGGUGUAGCGGUGGAAUGCGCAGAUAUCAGGAAGAACACCGGUGGCGAAGGCGGCUCUCUGGGCCUUACCUGACGCUGAGGAGCGAAAGCGUGGGUAGCGAACAGG